AGAGUUUGAUCAUGGCUCAGAACGAACGCUGGCGGCAGGCCUAACACAUGCAAGUCGAACGCCCCUUUCGGGUGGAGUGGCAGACGGGUGAGUAACACGUGGGAACGUGCCUUCUGGUUUGGGAUAACCCAGGGAAACUUGGGCUAAUACCGGAUACGCCCCGGAGUGAUCUGGGGGAAAGAUUCAUUGCCGGAAGAUCGGCCCGCGUCUGAUUAGCUAGUUGGUGGGGUAAUGGCCCACCAAGGCGACGAUCAGUAGCUGGUCUGAGAGGAUGAUCAGCCACACUGGGACUGAGACACGGCCCAGACUCCUACGGGAGGCAGCAGUGGGGAAUAUUGGACAAUGGGCGCAAGCCUGAUCCAGCCAUGCCGCGUGAGUGAUGAAGGCCCUAGGGUUGUAAAGCUCUUUCGCACGCGACGAUAAUGACGGUAGCGUGAGAAGAAGCCCCGGCUAACUUCGUGCCAGCAGCCGCGGUAAUACGAAGGGGGCUAGCGUUGUUCGGAAUCACUGGGCGUAAAGGGCGCGUAGGCGGCUUUUCAAGUCGGGGGUGAAAGCCUGUGGCUCAACCACAGAAUUGCCUUCGAUACUGUUAGGCUUGAGACCGGAAGAGGUGAGUGGAACUGCGAGUGUAGAGGUGAAAUUCGUAGAUAUUCGCAAGAACACCAGUGGCGAAGGCGGCUCACUGGUCCGGUUCUGACGCUGAGGCGCGAAAGCGUGGGGAGCAAACAGGAUUAGAUACCCUAGUAGUCC
rnacentral:rRNA from 1 species